AAAUGCGGGUGGUUUAACAUAAUGAGGUGAAUAUUUAUGACAUUUUGACCUUUUAUUACAUAAUGCGUUGUUUGUAAGAAAAGUCC